rnacentral:rRNA from 1 species
UACAGAGGUCUCAAGCGUUGUUCGGAUUCAUUGGGCGUAAAGGGUGCGUAGGUGGCGCGCUAAAGUCAGGUGUGAAAUUUCGGAGCUCAACUCCGAAACUGCAUUUGAUACUGGCGUGCUUGAGGACUGGAGAGGAGACUGGAAUUCACGGUGUAGCAGUGAAAAUGCGUAGAUAUCGUGAGGAAGACCAGUGGCGAAGGCGGGUCUCUGGACAGUUCCUGACACUGAGGCACGAAGGCCAGGGGAGCAAACGGGG